rnacentral:rRNA from 1 species
UACGUAGGGUGCGAGCGUUGCCCGGAUUUAUUGGGCGUAAAGGGCGCGUAGGCGGCUUGGCACGUCCGUUGUGAAAUCGCCCGGCUCAACUGGGCGGGGUCAGCGGAUACGGCCGAGCUGGAGCGAGGUAGGGGGUAAUGGAAUUCCCGGUGUAGUGGUGGAAUGCGUAGAUAUCGGGAGGAACACCAGUGGCGAAGGCGGUUACCUGGAGCUUUGCUGACGCUGAUGCGCGAAAGCGUGGGGAGCGAUCCGG